rnacentral:rRNA from 1 species
CGCAGCGAAAGUUGCGCUAAUACCGCAUACGAUCUACGGAUGAAAGUGGGGGAUCCGCAAGGACCUCAUGCUCGUGGAGCGGCCGAUAUCUGAUUAGCUAGUUGGUAGGGUAAAAGCCUACCAAGGCAUCGAUCAGUAGCUGGUCUGAGAGGACGACCAGCCACACUGGAACUGAGACACGGUCCAGACUCCUACGGGAGGCAGCAGUGGGGAAUUUUGGACAAUGGGGGCAACCCUGAUCCAGCAAUGCCGCGUGAGUGAAGAAGGCCUUCGGGUUGUAAAGCUCUUUUGUCGGGGAAGAAACGGCAUGGCUUAAUACGCUGUGCUAAUGACGGUACCCGAAGAAUAAGCACCGGCUAACUACGUGCCAGCAGCCGCGGUAAUACGUAGGGUGCAAGCGUUAAUCGGAAUUACUGGGCGUAAAGCGUGCGCAGGCGGUUAUGUAAGACAGAUGUGAAAUGCCCGGGCUCAACCUGGGAACUGCAUUUGUGACUGCAUGGCUAGAGUGUGUCAGAGGGGGGUAGAAUUCCACGUGUAGCAGUGAAAUGCGUAGAGAUGUGGAGGAAUACCGAUGGCGAA